UUACAGUCGGAUUUACCCUUGUAUCACUCAUACAUUGAAUCAAUCAUGCAUUUGGCUUGGUUUUAGUUCUAAAUGAUGAAAUCAAAAUCAGUUUCAUUUGCAAAGUUGUCUUCAAGUUAAAAAUGUAAAUCUAAACCAAUAUAUUGUUGAUGAUAGCUAUGAAAUUAAUAAGCGCUACAGAUAAUACUAAAAGGGCUAUAAUGAAAAGAAUUGAACAAAAAACACGACAAUGGGGCACAAAAAGAUAUGAUAACUAACUUAAGUGAACCCCCCUCAGAUGUACAAAUGUAGAUACCAGCCCUUUUCAAAUGUAUUCUCAUUAUUAAACAAAAAUCAUAAUAUUUGCCAAAAUUGUAACUGAAAUGUGAAAUGUAGAAGAAAACAUUUUCAUCUUAUUCAACCAACUGAGAAAUAGUUGAGUAUAUAACUUAAUGCCAUCAUGACAUCCAAAAACUAGUCAAAUUGUAAGAUGCAAACACAUUAUGUUUUUAGGAUACAUCUAUUCAAACAAAGUCCAAGUUUUAAGGCUUUAAGCUCACC
rnacentral:misc_RNA from 1 species